rnacentral:rRNA from 1 species
GACGAACGCUGGCGGCGUGCUUAACACAUGCAAGUCGAACGGGAAGGCCCUGCUUUUGUGGCGUUCUCGAUUGGCGAACGGGUGAGUAACACGUGAGUAACCUGCCCUUGACUUUGGGAUAACUUCAGGGAACUGGGGCGAAUACCGGAGAGAAGCUCCUGCUGCAUAGGGUUGGUUGGAAAAUGUCGGCUGUUGGGUCUGGACUCGCUGCUUAUCAGCUGGUUGGUCAGGUAGUUGCUUACCAAGGCUUUGACGGGUAGCCGGCAUGAGAGGGUGACCGGCGACAUUGGGACUGCGAUACGGACCAGUAUGCUACGGGAGGCAGCAGUGGGGAAUAUUGCACAAUGGGCGGAAGCCUGAUGCAGAAACGCCGCGUGCGGGAUGCCGGCCUUUGGGUUGUAAACCGCUUUCGCCGGUGACGAAGCGUGAGUGACGGUAAUGGGUAAAGAAGCACCGGCUAACUACGUG